GUGUCGCGCGAUCAUAAGAGGAGACGAUAUCGACGAUAUCGUCGAUUUUCGCUCGUGAACGUCGUCGCGUUGUGAGUGAGUGCGACAAUGGACCAAGGACCAACGGAGUAACGGAGGACGAUCGAGGAGAGGAGAACGGGGCCUGGGAGGCAUCGGGCGACGGCGGAGCGACCGUGGGAUCAACGCAGAAUUACAACUCCGCUGUUGCGCAUCGGCCGCUUAAUGCUAAGGUAGCACCGCCACGAUUUUCUCCGAAAUGGCACGGGAUACAAAAUUGUUAUUAGUG